rnacentral:rRNA from 1 species
GAUGAACGCUGGCGGCGUGCCUAAUACAUGCAAGUCGAGCGAACAGAUGAGGAGCUUGCUCCUCUGACGUUAGCGGCGGACGGGUGAGUAACACGUGGAUAACCUACCUAUAAGACUGGGAUAACUUCGGGAAACCGGAGCUAAUACCGGAUAAUAUAUUGAACCGCAUGGUUCAAUAGUGAAAGACGGUUUUGCUGUCACUUAUAGAUGGAUCCGCGCCGCAUUAGCUAGUUGGUAAGGUAACGGCUUACCAAGGCAACGAUGCGUAGCCGACCUGAGAGGGUGAUCGGCCACACUGGAACUGAGACACGGUCCAGACUCCUACGGGAGGCAGCAGUAGGGAAUCUUCCGCAAAGGGCGAAAGCUUGACGGAGCAACGCCGCGUGAGUGAUGAAGGUCUUCGGAUCGUAAAACUCUGUUAUUAGGGAAGAACAAAUGUGUAAGUAACUAUGCACGUCUUGACGGUACCUAAUCAGAAAGCCACGGCUAACUACGUG